AAUAGAUACCCCGGUAGUCCACGCCGUAAACGAUGAGUGCUAAGUGUUAGGGGGGUUUCCGCCCCUUAGUGCUGCAGCUAACGCAUUAAGCACUCCGCCUGGGGAGUACGGUCGCAAGACUGAAACUCAAAGGAAUUGACGGGGGCCCGCACAAGCGGUGGAGCAUGUGGUUUAAUUCGAAGCAACGCGAAGAACCUUACCAGGUCUUGACAUCCCGCUGACCGCUAUGGAGACAUAGCUUUCCCUUCGGGGACAGCGGUGACAGGUGGUGCAUGGUUGUCGUCAGCUCGUGUCGUGAGAUGUUGGGUUAAGUCCCGCAACGAGCGCAACCCUUGUCCUUAGUUGCCAUCAUUCAGUUGGGCACUCUAAGGAGACUGCCGUACAAAUACGGAGGAAGGUGGGGAUGACGUCAAAUCAUCAUGCCCCUUAUGACCUGGGCUACACACGUGCUACAAUGGACGGUACAAACGGUUGCGAAGUCGCGAGACGGAGCCGAAUCCGAGAAAAGCCGUUCUCAGUUCGGAUUGCAGGCUGCUAACG
rnacentral:rRNA from 1 species